CCAAUCCUCAGGGUUGUCAUUCUAGUUAUAGGUGAGUUCAGACUGCCUUGAUGUCGACAGAUGCAAACCUUUGAGACACCACCGUCCUUUUUGCAUGUUCUGUUUUCAAACCUUUGUCUCACACCAUAACCACAAAAGCAGGAUGAGACUUCCGAUUAUUUAGCCAUGCACAUUGUAUCAGUCUCUUGCGGGUCUUUCUGUCUUCCAAGUGAAGUUCCCUCGUCCAUCUGAUGACCUUCCAGUAGGAAGUGGAAACUUUUUCUAUAAUAGAAAUUCCAAGUCACAGUUUCAACUGCCUUGCCUGCUUCGAGGACAUUUGUCCUUCUUUAAUAAAGAAAUCAUAUCUGAUAUUAUGACGGUUAUGGUUUAAAAAAUCUUUGUUAUACAUAUUUAAAGGUUGUUUUUAUCCAGCUUAAUAUGAACUCCAAGUCCCUACGUAUGGUUUAAAAAGAUUCCAAGCCCUCUGUCUCCAUUACCUGCCCUCCCUCAGAACAAAAGACUGGGACCAUUCCACGAUGCCUCAUUCCUCCAAACUAUUAAUCAUUGACUUCCGAACAGACAUUGACGAGUGCGCCCAAGGGAAGGCAGAGUGCAGCCCCCAGGCAACAUGCAAGAACUCCGUGGGGAGUUACAGCUGCUCUUGCAACCCACCUUUCGAGGGAGAUGGACGAACCUGUGAGUUUUCGUGCGAACCCUCGGGCAAGGUCUACGAGGGUCUGGGAUGCAUCAAGGCUGUGUAUGAACCCCUGACCUGGCACCAGAUGAACGCCACCUGCCAGGAGGCUGGGUGGCGUUUCGCGCAGGACAUCAAAAUACGGCAUGAAAAGGAUGUUGAUCGCGCUUUUCCUUAUGCAAGACGUCCACCAGCCGUGAGCAGAGAGUACUGCUGUCGUGUUGUCCAGGGUAAUUACAAGAAUUUCCACGUGGGUGAUCGCGAGAAUUCUACAGCGUGUUUUUUGGGGAUCUGCAGAAGCCGUGAGAAGUCUUCUACAAUGAGGGAGGCAUUCCGUCUUCCUACAGUUAGCUACAGUCUACUGUCUGUGCAGCUACUUGCAGACAAGCGAAGAGGGAUAUUCAAGAAAUGCAGAAAAUAUGAGAGAAAAUGCGUCUUGUGUUAUUGGGAGAUAAAGCGUGAUAAGACUUUAUUUUAUAAUGCCAGAGACGUGCAGUUUUACUUAUAUUUUAUUUUAAGCCGGCCAGUGUUUUGUGUUAUAAGCAAUUUUGCUAGGCGGGGGCUAGCAUAUAAGGUGGCCGAGCUAUCUGUAAGGCCUAGGGUUUUUGAUUAAUAAUAUAUUGUCCAUGUGUUCCCUGUGACCUAUGGAAUGUGGAGAACAGUGCAGGAGCGGCGACCUGAGAGUAGCUGACAAUGAGUUUCUAGGGAUGGCGUGAGAUAAAAAUGCUUAGUUCAAAAAGUCAAUGUACGACAGUUUAUGAACUCUUCUCAAAGUGCCUUUGUGAAACUGGAUGCAGCUAGAACCGUGAGGUGCUAUCGAACUGUGUGUUCGUAUGUGCGUGUGCGCCUCUUUCUGUUAAAAGUGUCAUACCCAAGCCUAUGGGGGGAAUUUUGAGAGAGGGCUUCAAGUCACAGGCAAAGAUGCCGUAGCGUUCGCCGGGGGAGUUUUUUAUUAACAGUGUUUUAGU